AGCAGCCGCGGUAAUUCCAGCUCCAAUAGCGUAUAUUAAAGUUGUUGCAGUUAAAAAGCUCGUAGUUGAAUUUCGGGAUUCGUCGGUUGGUCGGGCUUCACUGUCCGCACUGACCUGACGGAUUCCUACCUUCUGAAUAACCAGCAUGCUAUUAAGUUAGUGCGUUGGGGAAGCAGAGCUAUUACCUUGAAAAAAUUAGAGUGCUUAAAGCAGGCUUGUGCUUGAAUAGAUUAGCAUGGAAUAAUAAAAUAGGACGGCUUGGUUCUAUUUUGUUGGUUUCUAGGAUCACCGUAAUGAUUAAUAGGGAUAGUUGGGGGCAUUAGUAUUCAAUUGUCAGAGGUGAAAUUCUUGGAUUUAUUGAAGACUAACUUCUGCGAAAGCAUUUGCCAAGGAUGUUUUCAUUAAUCAAGAACGAAAGUUAGGGGAUCGAAGACGAUCAGAUACCGUCGUAGUCUUAACCAUAAACUAUGCCGACUAGGGAUCGGACGAUGUUAAUUUUUUAAUGACUCG
rnacentral:rRNA from 1 species